rnacentral:tRNA from 1 species
GGACGGUUAGCUCAGAUGGUUAGAGCGCCGCCUUCACACGGCGGAGGUCACUGGUUCGAUCCCAGUACCGUCCACCA